rnacentral:rRNA from 1 species
AGAACGAACGCUGGCGGCAGGCUUAACACAUGCAAGUCGAACGGUUGUAGUAAUACAGCAGUGGCAGACGGGUGAGUAACACGUGGGAACCUUCCUAGGGGUACGGAACAACUCAGGGAAACUUGAGCUAAUACUGUAUACGUCCGUGAGGAGAAAGUUUUAACGCCCCUAGACGGGCCCGCGUAGGAUUAGGUAGUUGGUGAGGUAACGGCUCACCAAGCCUACGAUCCUUAGCUGAUCUGGAGAGGAUGAUCAGCCAC